UGUCUCUGGCUGACUCCUUAAUCUCCGCCCAGUCUCUGCUCCAUCCCUGCCGGUAAGCCUGCUUCUCUGUCUCUCUUCUCUGAAAUAAAAUGUCUAUAAGCUGUUUGAGUGAUUUACCGAGUUGUUGUUAGUGAGUUAUGAAGCCAGUCGAAGUAUAAGUCAUGUUAAAGUAACACAAUGGCUGCUUUUUUAGUGAAACGUUGUAAUUUUAGUAUUUAAAAGGAGUGUUUGGUAUGCCCCUAAGCGCUAACGCCUAGCCUAGCUCCUAUAGGCCUAGUGUGAAAUUAAUAUGGUUCAUUUGAUUGUUUAAUACAGUUAUUGUGUUGUAUUUGGUUCAUUCAGUGUGUUAGUGUUUCUGAGUCUCUUAGGGAAGCUGAAGUUAGUUCUCCUCUUCACAAAUCAGUCAGUUAAAACGGCCUCAUUCUAUAGGUUGUAAGGUAAUGAGCCGCCAUUUUAGAACCACUGAUUAGCUGCUGGAGCAGCAGGGUCGGCAACUUCAAAGGAGCCAUUUUACCGCCUCUGACUGAAAGCCGGGAGAAAAAGAGUCACGUGCCUGUGCCGAGUGAACGAGAUCUUUGGUUUUGCCUUUGCUGACUGCUGAUCUGAUCGUCUCAAGUCUGGUAAGUAAAGGUUUUUCUGAGGUGCAGUGCUGGGAAAUGUUUCUCAUGAUAGGAGAUUCAGUGUAGUGGUGUGAGUGAGCACAGCUAUUGGUGAUCAUCAAAAGUCAUCAAAUCCUAGUAAAGUCUGUGUAAACAUUUCCAGACCUACAGAGGUCCGUAGGUUAUUGUAGCAGCACAUAUUUUUUCACAUUAGAGCAGCUCAUGAACAGCAGUUUAGGUACAAUUAAGUCUUCAAAUAGGGCCUUGUGGAUUUCAAAAGCUUCUUUCCCUUCAAUAAUUAAGUCACUGUCUGAAAACUGCUCUUUGAAUUAGUCUUUUAUAAUUAAAGAUUUUGUUGAUGACUGGAAACAAUCAAAAGCACAGAUACAGCAUUCAUUUCUGUAUUUUAUGGUUAAAUGAUCUACAAAGAAAUUAUGGUCAUAUAUAUUUUUAAUUAGGCCUUUAAAUCGGUCAUUAUAAGUAUGUCCUAGAUUUAGUGGAGUGCUUAUGGCUGUGUAUUAAACAUACCCCAAAUGUGACUGAAAUAUGUAGAAACAGUAUUGUUUACUUUU